ensembl:lncRNA
CCGUGACGGAGUCAGGAAACAAGCCAAGCCGAGCCGAGCCGAGCCGAGCCGCGCAGCGGCUGCAUUACCGCACAGACCGCAGCCUUUUACCUGAAGAUGGAAGCACACCCGGGGAAGACGUCCGCUGUCAGGGCGAACCACCGAGACGGAUAAAAGGCGCAGAGCUCCGGCCGUUAGGGGGGAGGGGGGGCGGAGCUGGUGUGGGUGUCACGCCGCGUGCGUGCAGGUAAACCGCCGCAGGCAGCCAGAUAGCUUAGCACCAGACGCUAACGUAACCAGCGGGGCGAGUUGGGGUCGGAUGAACUGUUGUCAGACCCGAACGCCCAGCGUGGAUAUUUUUAAUCGAGCGAAUAUUUAACUGUCAUCGCAAAGGACCCGCAAAGCCUCCUUUUUAUUGUUUUCUUGUAUUAUUUUGUUUUGCCCUCGAGGAUAUUGUCGCGGCUGCCGGUGGCGGCAGCUUGAUUGACAGCCCGUCUCAGCGGGUCCUCCAGAUGUGACAGUGACGCUCGGGCGCUUCAUAAGUCAGCCGGCCGCAGGAGCGGCUGCCCGCCGCGAAUGGCUGCCCGUCUGGAAGUCCCGGGCGGACUCUUAGCUCGACCGAACCGCGUCAACGCGCGACCAACGUCCUUCUGGCAGCGAGGCGCCGCCGCCGCCGCCGAAGCGGACACGUUGCUGGCCCGCUAACCGACCGACGUGACACCGAGAGGCGUGACCCGCGCCGCCGCUGCUGUUAAUUAACAUUACUUCACAGUUUAAGUCAUGAAGAGGACGGAGAAUAAGAACAAGAGGAAGCUCUUGGAGCACCAGGACAGCGGCGCAGCGGAGAAAGAUGCGUGUCCCUGUGGGUGGCCAGCUGUGGACCUCCUGAAGGCACGGUCAGUACAGACUGGGGGAAGCUGGAAUGUUACAAGCAGAAACCUGCAGGCUUCGCACUCGCUGCUGUUUGAAUGCAAACACACGGCUGUUUGCACGGCUGCACCCAACGCUCAUUUCAUGAUCACUCCAUCGCGUCUCGAUGAAUUCAAGAUAAUAUUGCGGACCUCCGAUGGAUGUUAAGCUGCUACGAUUGAAGCCGGAUGGAAUCUGAGCCUUGCAUGGAGAGAGUUUGGAGGAUCCAACAGCAACAAUCAAACUUGUGAAAUGAGGUCAACCAAUCAGAAUCCAGCGCUCCAACCGCUCUGUUCUGCAGGUGUUGUCGGGGGCUUUUUAGCUGCUGGUCCUCUCCUCCCCUCUUUGCCAUAAUGGGAGAGUGAAGGUCCAAGGCUGCGGGAU